GGUGUGCCUAGGGAUUGAGAAGGAUCAGAAAUCUCUUGAAGCGAUAAAAGUAACUUGUUCCACAAGUAAGCGUAUUGGUAAAGCUUCAAGAGGUGCCCAGAUUUCCGGUGAGUCCUCACUAGGCAGGGACACGACACGUGGCUGAGGCAGUUGACAGAUUGGAUUUUGAGUGGCUAAUUAUGGUUCGCCCAAGAAGGACUUCUGAUCCUCCUAUUGACCCGAC